CCUGCCACGGCUGCUGAUCUUUCACUUCACCCCAUCUGUGGCCUCCGGAGAGGGGCCCUGGCGCUACGCCAGUACGGUAACAGGAACACCCAACGCUUGCAAAAGCUGUUACGCUCAGGUUUCACCGGUGUGAGCUCCGAACCCAGAUCGCGAUGGGAUCCCAAGUCACCGGGUCGUUCUGUGUCUUACUGACAAGUGUGACAUUGGUUAAACCUCAGAGUGGAAAACUAAGGUUCCUCUCUACAAACUGAGUUCUCUGAGGCUGUCUUCUUCAAAGUGAUACAAACCAUCAUGGGGAAGAAGGAAUGCCUAGGAUGCAGAAGCAUAGGAGCCAAAACAUGCCUAGCCCUUACGUAAGCUUAUAAAUUCAUCUUCAGAUAGGUUCAACGUGUGAAGUUUACAUGCAGUGUGAUUCUUUAUGAACAUCUGUAUUCAGUCAUGUAGAUGAUGCCACUGAGGAAUAGUGCAAACAGAUUACAUUUUGCUAGAGAUGCCAAGAGCACCAGGCUGCAUUACCGUAUAUGGACACUGGUUUCAUUUUUACUAAAUUGCCUGUAAUAAAAAAACGCAAGCAUUGAUGCAAUGACCUUUUGCAUCCAUUUCUGCCAAUGGAUAUGGUAAUGAAGAAUACAUAAAUGCCUCAUACUUGAAGCAGGAAACUAUUUCCGUGGUGUAUUUCAAAGAAAUCAACUCUAGAUACUCCUGCUGGUGUAAAGGUGUUAACCUCUGGUGUUGAAAAUAACAUAUACCCCCAGGAAAGAGUUAUUUGCUCAGUUAACCUCAUUUUGAUCAGAAGAUGAGUUGCUGCUGCUCAACGUAAAGCGAUCUGCCAUUCAGCUUGUGAGAAAGGUCAGCUGAACAAUUUAUAUUCAAAGACUGUUGGCAUUAUGGCAUUUUCCAUAAUGAACUCCACAAAAACAAAGGCUGCUCUAUCUAACAGUCCUGAGGUAACAGAAAGACUUGGUAAUAUUUGUGAAGGAUUGAUCAUGUUUAGCUCAGAAACAAACAACCAAAACCAAAUCUAGAAUGAUUUUUAGAAGAUUAUUGUGUUAUUAUUAUGAUGAUUAUUCACUCUGUUGUGGUAACAGACAGAGACCCACUCAAGAUAUGCAUCUCAUAAUGCUGAAUGUUACGUGAGCACAGGGCAAGACAAAAUGUCAUCAGUUAGAAAUACAGUCUUGCUCAGUUCUUCCCAAGAAUGAUCUCGCCCAGCCCCCAGUACACACGAUAUUAGCUCUAAGUGAUGCUGUGUUAAUGCCCAGCUCACACGUGUCAGUUGGCAUAACGAGGGGUACUGAUGCAGGAUGCUCCUUCCAUCUCUGGAUACAUCAGCUUUAGAGUUGCUUUGUGCCAGCAGUGCUUACAUGAGAGUAAGAAUCUGUAUUUACUGGAUUCAUUGCUAACUUUGAUUCUCUGAUACGUUUUUUUCCCUAAAUUGGUCAACAGAGUGUUAACCAUGCACUGAUUCAAAUUAGCAUCUACUUCAGCAGUAAUGCAUGCCAGUUUCAUCUUUCCCCUUUUCAAUCUGAAAUAAAAAAAUAUUGUCAAGCAAGUUUAUAGUAUUCCAUUCUAAACCAGACAAAAAUAGGACAAUUAAAUGUAUUCACCAUGUAUUAAUUCAAUUUCCCCUUUCCCCAUUAGUCCUGACUGAGCUUCAAUAGCAAAUUACUUAACAAAAUAAGCAACUGGCAAAUAAUUGCAGUGCACAAACCUACUGAUUAGUCUUCUCAUUAGUUAGUCUAUUUUGGUAAAUUGGGUUGACUGAUUUAGAGCAUGAAUCAGUUCUGCCAUAAAAGUUCCAGUCAUAGUAGAAUAUCUAUACAGUCACAUAUGCCUCUGAGCUAAGUAUUUUCUUUCUUACAGCUUUAUAAUCCUCAAUGACUCUAGAGGAAGAGAAAAGAAUGUAUUCCUUUGAAUUCAGGGGGACUGUCUAUGUAUGAGUAAGAAUCGCAGGACUAGGGGCCUGACUUAAAGCAGGUGAAGCAUCACUGAAUAAUCACAUAGCAAACAAAACCAAAUUCCAUUAUAUUUCAAUAUUAGUAGGGAGAAAUGUAUUUAGAUUAAUUGUAAGACUAAACAUUUAUUUUUAUUUUUGCAAUUAUAUGGUCAGUAUACCCAUUUGACUGCAGAGUGAGAGCAUUAAGGUCUGAUUCUGUGAGCAGUUACCCCAACAGCAACAGGCAAUUUACAUUUGACUUUAAUCGGAAUAAGGUUAUUAAUCUGCCUAUGAACAUUAUAACAUGCUCAUUUCUAGAACUGCUGCAGCCCUUAGCCUCCGUGGCUGUCCAUCAGUGCUCCCUCGGUUGAGACAGUAACUAUGUAAGUGUUUCUAAUCCCAAACGUGAAAACGUUCAGGUCCCUGGAGUAGCUGCCUUCUGGAAGUAUGUAGAAUCCAGUGCAUCUUAGACUGCCCUAGCUUUUGCAAAACCUUAGGUAUGAAUCUUUCUUUUUUACAUAUUGAAUACCAAAAAUAAUAUAUGGUUUUAUUUCAUGCUUAAACACUGCUAGACUUCCUUUUAUUCCCAAUACAGUUGCUUUUUGUACUAUCACAAAAUACAAAGCUUGAAUUCCUGCCAAGCAAUUACACAGUCCUGCUCUUAUUUUUAAUCCUGAAAUGUAAAUAGUAGUAUUAUGCAUGCCUAGAUAAUGUUAGAUACAGUUACUAAAAUGGAAGAGGGAAAUAAGAAAAGGAAACGAGUCAUAUCAAAACCAUGACACAUACAUCUCAAACAGUUCAACAUGUGAAUAAAUGAUCAAUCUUCACUGGUAAAUAUAAAUAAUAUACUUUUGUAAAUUUUUUAAUUAAAUACCUGAAGAAUCCUGGAUAAAGUAUUCUGACAAGAAUUAGUUGCACUUUAAUGAGAUCUAGAAAUGGGUUGCCAACUGAGUAUUAAGGCCUCCCAAGAACGUUUUUCUUUCACUGUUAAUCCAAAACCUACAUUGCAAUCUCUUUUCUAACAGAGCACAUCUAAAUAGCCUUAAGCUCCUUACUUGCACAUUUUUAAUACAUACUGACAUAAUAGCAUAUAUAUUAUGGCACUUAACACAUGCAAAUACAAUUACAGUGAAUAGAAAACGAUCUUAAAUUCACAGUAACAAGAAACAUAAAUAUAUAUGAACUAGAACAGUGCACAGGAAUACCACUUAUUUACUUUUCCAUGCUGUCUGGGUCAUUCCUAUUUCAGAAAUAGUACGGGGUGUUACUUGUAGUGAUACCACAAUGAUCACUGAGGUACUCGAAGUGCUCUGUGGACAUCGGCUGAAGUCACAUUUGUGAGGCAGAAGCUAAGGUAGGAGAUAGUGAAAGGCAAAAUCUUGUAGCUUCAACAAAGGUGAGGAGAGGUGAGAGCGUACUGCCUUCUGACACAAAAGGAGGAACAGAGGUGAUUUUUUUGCCUUUAGUAACGGAGAAAAAGCAGUGGUUUUAAACCUCUUUUCCUCCUGUUUUCACUCUUUCUUUGUCUCACAGAUGGAAAAAGUGGAGCAGAAAAUUGCUUUGCCCAAAGCCACACACUGGCAGUAAUUGAACUAGCAGACAGCAUUGGUUUAAAUAGAAAAUGUGCAAUACAUUCAUAUUAUUCAGGCUAUUCUGACUGCUGUUUCUUUCUCUUGUCCACAUAUGCCAUUUACUUUUCAACUGUAGUUGCACAGCACUUCUGCUAGCAGAAUCUUGUAGGGAUUCCUGAAUUCUGAGUUGCUUUCAAUGAAAGUCAAGAAAAUAAGAAGGAAUAGGAGAUACCAAAUUCACUAAAUUCUUAAAAGAGAGUCUCAAAUUUUGGAUGCUGUUUUCCCAAGAAAGAGAUUAAGGAGGCAGCUCUGAUUUCUGUCUCAUCCAGCAACUGUGACCCUGAUUUCUAAUAUGAAGCAGCUGGUGAAUCUCAGCGUCCAGCCUCACUGUGCUGUGCAAUACGCUAGACAUAGUGAUAGUCAUUGUUUUGCUCAAUGUACAGUCUUCAGGAGCGAGACACCGAAAAAACCUCAAUACCCAUUCAUUAGAUGAGAAGUGAGACACAAAGAAGUUAAGAAAUUAAGCCAGUCACAUAGAGGUUUGGUGGCAGACCUCAGGUAAUGCCCGUGGAUUUCUGGAGGCCGCUCUGGCCCUCUGGGGCAUACUGCCACUCCAGCUUCAGGAGAGAAAUGUAAUGUGCUUGGAGGAGACCAUACAGCAAAGUAAAGACUAUUAGAGACUAGAAGCAGAAAAUAAUGGAAGCUUAAAAGAUUCAUACCUCCUUCUCCAAAGAAGCUGGUUUUAUACCAGAGGUGAGACUGAGGUUCACCAGAUCAUACUUUUAAAUCCAAGUAGAUGCCUCAGACUGAUGGAAUGGACUUUGUUCUCGAGGGGCUAAAGAGCAGUGGUUGCACUGAGUCACAAUGAAGAAACAAACUUUUGUGCAGCUUUUGUGGUGAACUAGAUCAGACAUCACAGCUGCAUGAAAGGACCUGGUGAAAAACUCCACAAAGGCUGGAUAAUAUCCAGCAGCCCAUCAAGUGGGUGCCAUUUCAACGUGGGGCAGCAACGGUCUGCAGGAGCUGUUAUGUGCAAAAUCUUGUUAUAUACAAAAAGAAACCCAACCUUGUGACUUGUGUAAAGUCACACCAAAUUUAUUAUGACUGCAACUUUAGCAGUCUAAUCAAAGAAUUAUUAUUAGCCCAGAUCUAAUUACUGCAGGGGAAAAAAAAAAAAAGGAAAUAAAUUGUAUGGAAAGUCUCAAUAAUAAUACCACAGUUAAAAUUAUUAUGCAUGCACUAUCUAGUACCUACCCCCUCUCCUAGUGUCCUGCUUAGCCUUUCACCUCCCUGUGGCUUCCAUCUGGUGGAGGGAGCAAGCACAGUGCAUCAUCAGCACCGAGAGUCCUGUGCCUAUAGCAGUAUGAUGUUGCUGUUUAUGGUUUCCUGUUCUUUCUCUCCUUUUUCCUCUUUUAGAAACAGCUCUUACCUGGGGGUGUUUUGACAUGUUUUCUAGUAGAGUUUUACACCCUGCUUUUUCUUCACUAGUCUGCAACUAUGUACUUUGUAUUUUAUUUAUCUUGAGUACUUGUUCUUUCUUCUCUUUUUUUUUUUACCCGUAAGACUAGUUUUGUCCAGCUGCAGGUGUUUAUUACCUUCCGAAUCUGGAUUAAUAUUUGUAUGUUGCUUACUGUGUGUAGCAGCUGAGGUAAAUAUGUCCAAAAAGGGCAAGGGAAGGAAGCAGGAAUACUGCUGACUAGAAAACAAGCUAUUGCACCUGAACUCGUUAGUUUUAUGAGCACAGUUCACAGUCAGUGCACGCUCAGCUCAGCCACACUGGGUGUGUAUGCUGCAAACAAGGUCGCAAAAACCUGAUAUAACAAUUACUGUGUGACAGUUGGAUUGGAGGCCACACUAGAAUAGCAUAAUGAUGACUCCUGAUUUUAUAGUUUAUUUCAGGGAAGUGGGGAAUAUUAAGCAUCUUCCAAUAGAUAUUCUAUAAGUAUAGAACAGGAUAAUUAUUUGAGCUUUUGUCUAGUCAUAGAAUAGAAACUAUUUAAAGCAGUGUCAGAACAUCUGUUUAAAGCAUAUAUUCAUGGCAGAAAGGAACAAGCAUUUGGCUUUAAAAAAAUAAUUUUAAUCAAUUUUGUCAUCAGUAUGGUCCACCAUGUUAUUCAGAAAUGGCUUCUUUCAGUAAAUGGAUUGUGAAUCAAUAGUAGAUAUAAAUAAAGCAGUACAAAGGGCACAGCAUUCAACAAGCUGCCAAUCGUUGGAGCAGAAGACAGCAGAAAUCAGUAUGCCAAAGUGGAUACACGAAUAAAUCAGAAACGCGCAGAUAAUACACAGAGAUGCCACCUUUUUAGAGAAACUCCAGAAUUCUGUCUUAUCCCAAGAACCACAGAAAUAUACAGAAGUUUGUAUGCGUUUUAUAUAAGAGGUCAGUACGAGGCAGAGUUUGGUCUGAAGUCUGGUUUUCACUAAACAUUUUCAAACUCAUCCCUCUUAGAACUUGCAGAGUUCUUGAAAUACAGCAAGUGAAUUGCCAGGCUGCCAAAGAUCUUUCUGGAGCCAGGGAAAAAAGAAACAAAACCACAACAAAAAAACUGCAGACUUUGUAUUAUACCUCAAUGGAUCAAUUCUUGAGAUAUACUGAAUACCUGCAAUUCCUGUAAGGUCAGUGAAAAGCGGUAUUACUCAGCACUUAUUAGGAUUUGGCAUCCAAUAGAAAGGGGAGUAAGAAAAGAUUUUUCAAGCACACGGAUCAUAAUGAAUUUGUAUUAGUUAUUCACAUCAGGACAGUCUUAUUUAAACAUCGCUAGUAGGAACUUUGAACAUGACUCAUAUGGUGUCUAUCAUAAUUGUUAAUUAUUAAUGAAUAAAUAUGCCAUUUGGGACCUAGCUAAUAUUUCCAGGACAUUUGUGUGAAUAUUUGUUUUGAACUGUGAGAGCGCCAGUUGCCAGGAACUCAACAUCCUUAGGUAUUUCAUAAUUAUUAACCAUACAUUAUGUUAAUCUGAAAAAUCUCAUUACUCUCAUAUAAAAACUAUGAACUUUGUAUCUGUUAAAAAACCAAAAGAUCCUCAUGGCAUAGUUUGAGCCUGCAGAUUACACCUUCAGUUUAUGGUUUUUUUUUUUAAAUAAAAAUAAGGACACAAUAUUUGUAGCUACUGACCUACAAUUUAAGACUGCACAAACUGGCGUGCUCGCUAACCAUGCAGUUUUACAUCUUUUCCAGAAGAAUUUAUUAUUUAAAUGGAAAUUCUGGAUAAUUACUGCAAACCAUAUAAUUGUCUAAUUUCACUUUGAACCCUUCUAAAUUACUGACUUAAAAAACAUGAUGCUUCAGUAAAGGAGGAACUUGACUCACAGGAUGAAUGCACUUGAAUCAGUUUUGAAUUUGCCACAUUUAAAUGUAGCUGUUCUGUUCUUACUGCCUCACAGGACAGAAUUUCCCAUUUUAUCUUCUUAACACCAUCUGUUAAUAGUGUUUAUGAUGGUACUGCAUAGGGGGUCAGCUGGGAAUGGGGCCCCAAAUGUGCCGACACUGUAAAGAGGAGAAAUAUAUGCUAGCCUCCGUCUGGUGGAGUCAAUAGACAAAAAACUGGAAGGAAGCAAUAGGGGCAGAGGGAAUAAUGAGAUGGCAGCAUACACCAUACCAUUUUUAUUUUUGUUUUCAUUUGAAUAUUUCAGUCCUUUUCCUGAAGCUCUGUUAUGAAAGAACUGAGUAGACAACACCUCCAAGAUAACAAGGACAUGGACCAAGCUAUAGCAAACAGCCUAUCAAAACACACCAGAGGAGAUUUCCGAGUGCCAACCUGAAGCAAGCAGUUUGCUGGUUGAUCAUGAGCAGACAGACAGAGUAAGAGGUAUGGACAACUGUCAGACAGAAACAAGGCCAGCCAAGCUGUUCUUUCAGCCAGGUGAUUGACUUGGAAGGAUGCUAUCUGAUGGCUUUUUGACUACUUCUUGUCCAAAUGAUGGCUGCCUGCUCUGCUUCUACUGCUUUUCUUCUUUUUCGAACAACACAGGAAUUUAUAAGGAUUAUAUCAUACCGAUUUUUGGAACAAGGUCCUCAUCAGCACCUUUGAAGAAGCAUAUGUAGAUAACAAGCCCUCUCUGGAUCUACAAAAGAUUACAGAAAACUACGUCAAUGUUUCCCAUUGUCUACCAUGCACACUUAUCAUUAAAGCUGGUAUCAAAAACAACAAAACUACACAGCAAAAAAGCUUCUGAGAGUAGUUUUAGUUAUUUAGUAUAGCCUCAGACAUCAAGUUUACACACCACACUGUGGAAGCUCAUGAGAUAUAUACCGAUUAUUUGCACAAUGCUUCUACGUACUAUUAAGCCAAUUUAUUAGCUCCAUGUGAAGCCAAAUUUACUUCACAUUACCACAAUGUACAAUGUACAGUAUUAACAUAGACAGGGUGACAAGAUGAAUUAGUGUGCUUAAAUCCAGCAUAGGAAAUAAUUUAAGCUUUUUUACUAUUGAACAUACAGACAAAAUAAUUUUCAGUGUGAAUUAUGAGUUUAUUUCCAAUUAUGAAACAUGACAAACACCACAGGACUUGUCAGUGAACUGAAUUAUAUUUUGAUGUUAAAAGUAAUCUAGUACAGGACAAUUCUGAAAAAACAUUUUGUUAAAUAAAGAUUUAAAUAUGACAGCCAAUAACUAUGAAGUUAUUCAGAAUAUUAUAAAGUUGUUCAAAAUAUUAUUUAUCAGUUUGAAUUAAGUCUUUUUGGUGAAAUGGGACCUUUCCCGAUUUGUGCACAGUAAAGGGUAUGCCACUUCUUUGGCAUUCAGAGGUGACUUGCAAGAACCAUCUAUUUGAAGAAAGAAUUAGGUCUGUACUGAGAAGAAAGGACAAGGCAAUUCACGCGUAGCUUUUCUACUCUUGGUUAGUUCACAAGGAACGCGUGUGAACAAACUGUGCUUUAUUAAGACAAACCAAUUGGCUCUGCAGCCAACAGCAGUUAUGUCUCAUGCACAAGUAUUCCUGAAUGGUUUAACUUCUUCAGGAAAAAAAAAAGAAAGGCAUACAAUAUCCACAGGCGCACAGUAUCUAAAAAAAAACUCACCACCACUUUGUCAAGAAUAAGUAUCCUUCUAUUUUUGUUAGAAGAAAAAUAAACGUCUGCUUAGGAAAUACCACCUAAGAGAUGCUAACUAGAUUGGGGCAUGAGGGAGUCAUUAAUAUCGACGCUAUCAAAGCAAAAGGAUAAGAAAUGUAAAUAGUUUCUUAAAAAUAGUUUUUUUUAUACUGUCCCCCUUUUCUUUGAAAGAUGAAGGUUUCUGGUGAAGGAAACUUAGCUA